rnacentral:snRNA from 1 species
AGAGAAUUGCUUGAACCCAGGAGGCGGAGGUUGCAGUGAGCCGAGAUUGCACGAUUGCACUCCAGCCUGGGCGACAGAG